rnacentral:ncRNA from 1 species
CUGACUGCCUGUACGGCUCUCCAUUUUCAAGUCGUGCGGAGCUUUAAAAAGGAGGAAACAGCACGCCCGGACUCGGGCUGCGGCAGUGUGGAGACCUGCCGUAUCAGCGGCGCGGCCCUCAGCGGCCGGCCGUGAGGGCGUUCCAUGCGAAGGCAGAACGCUCAGAGUCGAGAAACAUGGCA